rnacentral:rRNA from 1 species
AUUGAACGCUGGCGGCAGGCUUAACACAUGCAAGUCGAGCGGGGGAAGGUAGCUUGCUACUGGACCUAGCGGCGGACGGGUGAGUAAUGCUUAGGAAUCUGCCUAUUAGUGGGGGACGACAUCUCGAAAGGGAUGCUAAUACCGCAUACGUCCUACGGGAGAAAGCAGGGGAUCUUCGGACCUUGCGCUACUAGAUGAGCCUAAGUCGGAUUAGCUAGUUGGUGGGGUAAAGGCCUACCAAGGCGACGAUCUGUAGCGGGUCUGAGAGGAUGAUCCGCCACACUGGGACUGAGACACGGCCCAGACUCCUACGGGAGGCAGCAGUGGGGAAUAUAGGACAAUGGGGGGAACCCUGAUCCAGCCAUGCCGCGUGUGUGAAGAAGGCCUUAUGGUUGUAAAGCACUUUAAGCGAGGAGGAGGCUACUCUAGUUAAUACCUAGGGAUAGUGGACGUUACUCGCAGAAUAAGCACCGGCUAACUCUGUGCCAGCCGCCGCCGUAA